GUCCAGCUAGCUCAGUCAGUAGAGCAUGAGACUCUUAAUCUCAGGAUAGUGGGUUCAAGCCCCACAUUGGGCA
rnacentral:tRNA from 1 species